CGGUGGAACCACACAGGAAGCUGUACCCCUGGACUCCGGAAAUUUGGGACACUCCAUUUUCCCACUUCCAAGGAAAAAUGACAGCUGUUAACGAAAUGAGAUGGCGCUGCAAAUCAAGACAGUAUGUGGUGUCAAGUGUUGACAGCCGAAGUGGGCUUGGCUUCCCAGAUGUCACAUCCCGCCCUCCCGUCACUCUUCAGCCCCUGCUUAGCCAAUGACAAAUCGUCUCUCGAACAGUUGGUUCUCGUGCGAGAUUUAUUCGCCAGUAAUUGAUCACAAGUCCAGUAAUUGAACACUGAAGCAGAAAAAUGUAAAAUACAAGAAAAAAAUAUGGAAAUCUUUUGGGGCGUGCAGUGAUGUGAAGGCGGAGACUUCAGGUGUUGACGUCACUUUCAGGAGCAGCAAAUGGUUGUCAUGGAAACAGAGACACAGAAGACAGCGCCCUCUCAUGGGAAGCUACCAACAUAAAAGCUUUCUUCUGUACCGUUUUUUUUUCCCCCUCUCCACUUGCUAUCUGAUUUUCUUUCUUUCGCUUAUCCUUUUAAAGAGGGAACGUAUGCUAAUUUAUAAACAUGAAACAAUAUGUUUUGAUUAUCUUAUCCUGUUUUCAAGCAAUGUGCCAUUAGUUGAAGUCGAUAGGUUAAAAAAUUAAGAGAUUGUAGCAACGUAUUUUAAAAGGUUUUUAUAAACCUAAAAGAAUAUUAUAUGUAUAUUUAUGUUUCUUUAGUUGUAUUUAUUGCAAUUUUUAUGUAAAUAUAUUCAAUGCACGCUAAACAGUUUUUAUUAAAGUUAUA